rnacentral:snRNA from 14 species
GGCUGUGCUCUUCAGCAGUCCACAUACUAAAGCUGAGUGAAACACAGAUUACCACGGCCCCUGCACCAGGCAGACAUCUAAAUCCACCAAGUGCUCCAUGUUUUU